CCCAGGUCCUGCCCCUCCCCCCCCCGGCUCGGACCUCGCGGGACCCACAGAGCCCCCCCGCAAAGGUCCAUCAGAGCAGCAGCGGAACCAGUUGGAGGAGCUGAGGAAGUUUGGGGCCCAGUUUAAGCUCCAGCCCAGCAGUGCCCCCCAGGACCCC